UGUGAACUCGAAGAGUAGGGCGGGACACGUGGUAUCCUGUCUGAAUAUGGGGGGACCAUCCUCCAAGGCUAAAUACUCCUGACUGACCGAUAGUGAACCAGUACCGUGAGGGAAAGGCGAAAAGAACCCCGGCGAGGGGAGUGAAAAAGAACCUGAAACCGUGUACGUACAAGCAGUGGGAGCACCUUCGGGUGUGACUGCGUACCUUUUGUAUAAUGGGUCAGCGACUUAUAUUCUGUAGCAAGGUUAACCGUAUAGGGGAGCCGCAGGGAAACCGAGUCUUAACUGGGCGUUAAGUUGCAGGGUAUAGACCCGAAACCCGGUGAUCUAGCCAUGGGCAGGUUGAAGGUUGGGUAACACUAACUGGAGGACCGAACCGACUAAUGUUGAAAAAUUAGCGGAUGACUUGUGGCUGGGGGUGAAAGGCCAAUCAAACCGGGAGAUAGCUGGUUCUCCCCGAAAGCUAUUUAGGUAGCGCCUCGUGAAUUCAUCUUCGGGGGUAGAGCACUGUUUCGGCUAGGGGGUCAUCCCGACUUACCAACCCGAUGCAAACUACGAAUACCGAAGAAUGUUAUCACGGGAGACACACGGCGGGUGCUAACGUCCGUCGUGAAGAGGGAAACAACCCAGACCGCCAGCUAAGGUCCCAAAGUCAUGGUUAAGUGGGAAACGAUGUGGGAAGGCACAGACAGCCAGGAUGUUGGCUUAGAAGCAGCCAUCAUUUAAAGAAAGCGUAAUAGCUCACUGGUCGAGUCGGCCUGCGCGGAAGAUGUAACGGGGCUAAACCAUGCACCGAAGCUGCGGCAGCGACACUAUGUGUUGUUGGGUAGGGGAGCGUUCUGUAAGCCUGCGAAGGUGUGCUGUGAGGCAUGCUGGAGGUAUCAGAAGUGCGAAUGCUGACAUAAGUAACGAUAAAGCGGGUGAAAAGCCCGCUCGCCGGAAGACCAAGGGUUCCUGUCCAACGUUAAUCGGGGCAGGGUGAGUCGACCCCUAAGGCGAGGCCGAAAGGCGUAGUCGAUGGGAAACAGGUUAAUAUUCCUGUACUUGGUGUUACUGCGAAGGGGGGACGGAGAAGGCUAUGUUAGCCGGGCGACGGUUGUCCCGGUUUAAGCAUGUAGGCUGGUUAUCCAGGCAAAUCCGGAUAAUCAAGGCUGAGGUGUGAUGACGAGGCACUACGGUGCUGAAGUAACAAAUGCCCUGCUUCCAGGAAAAGCCUCUAAGCAUCAGGUAACAU
rnacentral:rRNA from 1 species